rnacentral:rRNA from 1 species
GUAGGGAAUAUUGGGCAAUGGAGGCAACUCUGACCCAGCCAUGCCGCGUGCAGGAUGACGGCCCUCUGGGUUGUAAACUGCUUUUAUACGGGAAGAAAAAAUACUACGUGUAGUAUACUGACGGUACCGUAAGAAUAAGGAUCGGCUAACUCCGUGCCAGCAGCCGCGGUAAUACGGAGGAUCCAAGCGUUGUCCGGAUUUAUUGGGUUUAAAGGGUGCGUAGGCGGAUCUUUAAGUCAGUGGUGAAAGCCUGCAGCUUAACUGUACGCAUGCCUUGGAAACUGUGAGGCUUGAGUGACUUGGAGGUAGCUGGAAUUCCCUGUGUAGCGGUGAAAUGCAUAGAUAUGUCAUGGAACACCGAAAGCGAAGGCAGCUAACGAUACUUAUAUUGACGCUCAUGGACGAAAGCGUGGGUAGCGAACAGGAUUAGAUACCCGUGUAGUCC